AGUGGCGCACGGGUGAGUAACGCGUGGAUAAUCUGCCUUUUAGUUGGGAAUAACGUACCGAAAGGUGCGCUAAUACCGGAUAAUACUGCACAACUACUGUUAUGUAGUCAAAGAAGGCCUCUGUUUACAAGCUUUUGCUGAAAGAUGAGUCCGCGUACCAUUAGCUAGUUGGUAGGGUAAUGGCCUACCAAGGCUACGAUGGUUAGCUGGUCUGAGAGGAUGAUCAGCCACACUGGAACUGAGACACGGUCCAGACUCCUACGGGAGGCAGCAGUGAGGAAUAUUGCGCAAUGGGGGCAACCCUGACGCAGCAACGCCGCGUGAGUGAGGAAGGUUUUCGGACCGUAAAGCUCUGUCGAGUGGGAAGAAAUGUAUUAUGGCUAAUAUCCAUGAUACUUGACGGUACCGCUAAAGGAAGCACCGGCUAACUCCGUGCCAGCAGCCGCGGUAAUACGGGGGGUGCAAGCGUUGUUCGGAAUUAUUGGGCGUAAAGAGCGUGUAGGCGGCUGAAUAAGUCAGAUGUGAAAUCCCUGGGCUUAACCCAGGAAGUGCAUUUGAAACUAUUCAGCUUGAGUAGGGGAGAGGAAAGUGGAAUUCCUGGUGUAGAGGUGAAAUUCGUAGAUAUCAGGAGGAACACCGGUGGCGAAGGCGACUUUCUGGCCCUAUACUGACGCUGAGACGCGAGAGCGUGGG
rnacentral:rRNA from 1 species